GACGAACGCUGGCGGCGUGCUUAACACAUGCAAGUCGAACGGUGAUGCUCCAGCUUGCUGGAGUGGAUCAGUGGCGAACGGGUGAGUAACACGUGAGCAACCUGCCCCAGACUCUGGAAUAAGCGCUGGAAACGGCGUCUAAUACUGGAUACGAAACUGGCCCGCAUGGGCAUGGUUUGGAAAGUUUUUCGGUUUGGGAUGGGCUCGCGGCCUAACAGCUUGUUGGUGAGGUAAUGGCUCACCAAGGCGACGACGGGUAGCCGGCCUGAGAGGGCGACCGGCCACACUGGGACUGAGACACGGCCCAGACUCCUACGGGAGGCAGCAGUGGGGAAUAUUGCACAAUGGGCGAAAGCCUGAUGCAGCGACGCCGCGUGAGGGAUGACGGCCUUCGGGUUGUAAACCUCUUUCAGCAGGGAAGAAGCGAAAGUGACGGUACCUGCAGAAGAAGCACCGGCUAACUACGUG
rnacentral:rRNA from 1 species